rnacentral:lncRNA from 1 species
GCGUUCUAUUACAACAAUAAACAAUUUAUAUAUAUAAUUUAAAGGUAGGGUAAAUAUAUGAUAAAUCUAGGUCUACAACUAGGUUACAAGUAGACAUAACAUCGAGGUUAAAACGAAAACAUCGCACGAUACCACCAAAAAAUACAAUAUAGUUACAUAGGAAAACAUAAAAUUCCAAUUAAGCACACCUUGUGUAUAUGUUAGACAAUGCUCAGUGUAUUAAAUAAAUCGUAUAUCGCAAUCCUCACAACGAUUCAAUUUGUUUUAGAUCGAGGUCAUAUUAAACCAAAUUAUGUUAAAUAUCCAAUUGCAUGCAUCAUCAAUGUCAAUACAUACAUAUGCUUUCUUAAGUGACUCAUGCAUACCUAUGGUGUCGUCUACAACAAUAUAGAUUAUAAUGAAACAAUGGAAAGAAUUUCGAAAAUGAAACUUCAAUAAAAUGAUACUUAAUUACCUGUUUUUUAUAUUUAUUGUAUUAUUACUUGCAGUAGAAUUACUUGAUUAAAAUAUCGCUCUAUUUACAUCGUCAGUUUUUUUUUCACAUAAAACAUAAAAUUCCAAGUAAACACACCUUGUUUAUAUGUUAAACAAUGCUCAGUGUAUUAAAUAAAUCAUAUAUCACAAUCCUCGCAACGCUUCAAUUUGUUUCAGAUCGAGGUC